UACGAAGGGGGCUAGCGUUGCUCGGAAUCACUGGGCGUAAAGGGUGCGUAGGCGGGUCUUUAAGUCAGGGGUGAAAUCCUGGAGCUCAACUCCAGAACUGCCUUUGAUACUGAAGAUCUUGAGUUCGGGAGAGGUGAGUGGAACUGCGAGUGUAGAGGUGAAAUUCGUAGAUAUUCGCAAGAACACCAGUGGCGAAGGCGGCUCACUGGCCCGAAUCUGACGCUGAGGCGCGAAAGCGUGGGGAGCAAACAGG
rnacentral:rRNA from 1 species